CAAGAGUGUUCAACCAAGCAAGAGGGUGGUUAGGCUGACUUAGUGCUAGUGGGAGUGCUAAGUGCCGACGCGGUUGCUUAGAAAGGUCUAAGGCCGUGACACAUUGUUCACUUUGUUCUUGCUGCACAAUUCGGUGAACAGCAAGGGAAAGAAGAAGGAGAAAGAGAAGAAGAAGAAGAAGAAGAGAAGAAGGAGAAGAGGAAGGAGGAAGAAGAAAAGAAAAAUAGCUGCAGUUUUGGGGCUGCCUACACCUAAGGAUAUUUCCAUUCGAGAAAGAGAUGUACGAAUAAAGGAGUGAAGCUGACUCGACCGAAUGGGAGAGGUUGUUUAAGAAUCGAGAAAGGCAUUGUGAAAUUUUCUAGAAAAAGGAUCAAGAUAAGUAUAAGGAGAAGAAGGGUUGCCUUUUUUGUAAUGAAUCUAUUCCACCAAGUAACAACUAGCGUGAAAGCCGUUGUGCAGUAGUGCAUCCGUUUUCUUACUGGGUAAAGUGUGCUAAUACACGUGGUUGGAAAAGGCUCAAAAGGAAUCAAGGACCAGAGGUGGUAAUGGAGAUGAUCAGGAGAAGGAUCAAAAGGGAGAUUAAGAGGGUGUCGAUCCACCUGUCCAGCAUGGUGGGGUAUUUCCACCACUACUCCCAAGGACUAUGGGGACUGUAAUGGCUUCUUCUUCCAGGGGCUCUAGAGGCUCGAGACCUUAUGGACUAAACGAUGAGAUGGCUCAUCUGGACACCACAAACAAUAUCAUGAGGAGGAUGGACAACCAUCUAGAGAGCGUGGAUAGGAGCUACUGUCUCCUUGAUGGUCUAGUUGCCACUAUUGAGAGACAAAUGUAGGAGAUGGUCCUACACUUUAGAGUUCCUAUGCCAGGGUCUAGAGCACAAGGUCAGAGUCAAAACCAAGGCCAGGGUCAGAACCAGGAGUAGCAUCAGACUGAUCAGCAGGAGUAGUGGCAUCCACAUGCCUUCAGUAAUCUCUAGGAUUUCCUUUCUAUGAUUUUUGGCAUAGUCAGAUUUAUAUUCCAGUUGAAUGUUUUAGGACUAGUGAUGCACUUUUAUUUCUUGUCUUUUGCUUAUGCUAGUUAUGAAUUCCUAGAAAUAUAAGCUAGAUUAGGAUUUCUUGUUUUUAGUACUUUUUAUUUGGAAAAGUGGUGUAAGCUUAUGUAUUCAAGUUCUUAUUACAAUGAAACGGAUUUCACACCUA